AAGAAAACGAAGCUGCAAAACUCCGAAUGAGAAAAUUGAGAGAACGACUGAAAAAACGUACUGAAGAUGAAUCUCAACCUGAUGCAAGACUGAUAUUCCCUUUUAGAAGUCGUCAGUCGUAUGGCAAAGCACGCAAAAAGGCCAUUUCAGCACUACUGCAUAGUCCAAGAAAAAGAAGAGAGCUUAUAAAAAAAUUUGCUGAAGAUAUUGGCCUAAUUGAGGAGCUACCAUUCAAAAGAGACUUUGUCCAAAAAUUGAAAAUUUUGAGUUAAAUACUAAUUUCACGAUUUAUGUGGUUCAUA
rnacentral:lncRNA from 1 species